UGUGACUUUAAUUUGACAUUGACAUUCAAAUUUUUACUCAACUUUAUUUUGUUUAUUGCUCUAUUUCUGGUUUUCUGUCGCUCUUCCGCAAACACAUCCACGCCUCGCCACGCUUCAAAGGCUGCCCGACGGCCAACGACACCGUUCUGGAGCAGUACACACGAUUAACGAGGGGAUGGGACUAGGUACAUUUAUCUCGUACAUGGCCAAGUGCGAUAUAGAAAACAGACAGACGGAAAACUACGAAUUUGUUUUGUGACAGCGCGCUAAACGAGUAAAAGCCAGACGAGCUAUUUUAUGCAUUAUAUUUGGACCGAUGAGAAAAUACCCUAAGCUUCGAAAUUGAACUUGGUUGAUAAAGUAAAUUUCGUCAACAAUGCUUAGCUCGAAAGUUACCUAAGAUCAAUUUGAAUUUGGAAACUUGCAAAAGCCAGUCGACAUAUGCCUUUAGUUGCAAAUUUAACAUAUAUUAUAAGCGACAUCAAUGAGCUCCGACAAGUGCCAUGCCCACUGUGCGCUCAUUACUCAAGUAUGUCAUCAAAAAAUAUAAAAAAAAAAGCGUGACGCGUAAAGAAUUGCUCAUACGCAACGUUGCCUCCAUUUUACGCAUAAGUCGGCAAUAAGCAGACAACAGGCUUUAAGGAUCUCGGGCAUUGGGACAGCUUAUGGUAUUUCAUUUAUUAUUCAGCAUGUGGAAUGCUUGCACGCAUACAAAUGGAAUGUUUCCAUGCACAUAUAUAUGUUGAAUACGCGUGUGCAUAUAUAUUCUUAAUGGGCAUUUCUUGAAAAUACAAUAGAUUCAAUUAAAA